rnacentral:rRNA from 1 species
UACGGAGGAUGCAAGCGUUAUCCGGAAUCAUUGGGCGUAAAGCGUCCGCAGGUGGCUGUUCAAGUCUGCUGUCAAAGCGCGGAGCUUAACUCUGUACAGGCGGUGGAAACUGAAGAGCUAGAGUAUGGUAGGGGUAGAGGGAAUUCCCGGUGUAGCGGUGAAAUGCGUAGAUAUCGGGAAGAACACCAGUGGCGAAAGCGCUCUACUGGGCCAUAACUGACACUGAGGGACGAAAGCUAGGGGAGCGAAAGGG